CAAUGUCCGAUGAAGAGAUGAGUAUAACUGCCUGAGAUUUAUUAGCAAGUAAAUCAUUACUUGUGUAGAGAGCUGGGGAAGCUGAAAACCAGUAUAAAUCCACGUUAGAAGAUGGUCUCGGAGGAAUUUAUAUGCGAGUGUCGCUUCAAAUGGCAUAAGCGUGUAACGUAGCUGGCGUUAACAGGAGUCCUAUGACUUUUGAGCUCUUCUAUAUAAUAGAAGGGAAAAUUGGGUGGUACCACGUGAGUAUGCUCUCGUCCCAUGU
rnacentral:ncRNA from 1 species